rnacentral:lncRNA from 1 species
GAGGAAGCAAAGCGAAUCCAUCAUCACCACUACCAGAAAAUGAUUCCAGCUCUGGAUAUCCACCAUGGAUGCCGAAACUUUCAAGAAAUGGGAGUCUGUUGAGUCCCCAUUCUGACAGGGGCUUCAGCUGUAAGUUUUCUCCUGCCGCUAUGUGAAGAAACUUCAGACUGGGAGGAAAAUCUCCUUGUGGAAAUAACAAAGGACUUGAACAAGAAGACAAGAACAGAGAUCUUAGUCUUCCCAACCCACUGGGCAAGUAACUAACAUUUUUGCAUCUGACCAAGGAAACACGUUCCAAACUUGGAGUGGGCAAUUGAUCCAGAUGAUGAUCACAAUCGCUAAUAGACAAAGACCGGAGACUUGCAAAACUGUAGACUGAACCAAGCAUUGUUCUCAAAUUCAGACAUGGGCAGCCAACGAUUUGCAGACUCUCAAUCGAUGUGCUGGUGUCCUCUAUGACAAUCUCCGGAGUAAGGUUCAGUUUCUGGCAAUGUCUGAUCCCAAGAUGCCUAAGCUGAGGGAGGAGCAACUUGUCC